GCCAUUAGGGAUGAGGCCAGAACUGGCUCUGGAAAGCAACCUCUGCUGUUUGGGGUAGAUUUGCCCGAGUCAGUGUCUGUCUGUCGGUCUGUGUCUGUCUGUCCCUCUCUCUUCCUCUCUCUCUCAUGCAAGAGAGAUGGGCCCUGGGGAAGAGCAGCCCCCUCUCCAGGAGAGCUCCAGACAGCAGCAGCAGUGGAGACCGCUGUCCCUGCUGUCCCCGCUGUCCCUGCUGCAUGCCCACAAACAAAAGUCGCCUUUCAUCCGAUCCAGUGCCGCCUGCCCGAAGAGGAGUCACUUCCUUGUGCCUGGGCGUUGAUGAAAGCCGACAGCAGAGGCGAGAAAACAGCCAGCUCUCUCUGCGCGCGAUCACUGCGUUUGGAGGUGUUGGGAGUACAGGGUGAGUGGAGCAGGUCAAGAUUCCCAAAGAACACAGACAAGAGAUGGGACCCCUGGGACACCCAAGAUCCCUCCAAACACCUGGUGCUUCCUUAAAGGUGCAGAGCAGGGGUCUUGGCAACUACAGCCACAAAACAUUCCUACCUGACAGGUGGCCGAAACAUCCUGGGUGUGUCUGCGUAAAAUAAGACAGUGUGGAGUCCAUUCAUCCAGCAUGAAAUCCAACCAGAGCCGGCAGGCAGCAUCUCCACCAGAUGAAGAAGCUGAGAUUCCAAGGAGAGUCACUUCCACAAAGUCACACAGCCUGUGCAGCUCUAAACCUGAAACCAGAUCUGCUUAACGUCCACAUUGAAAUGACCUCUGAUCAUGUCCCAUAGAGACUAUGGAAGAGUUUCAGGGACCCCUCGGGCUCCAAGUGACAUCAUUUGUUUAACAGUUAGCACAUUGCCAAGCUUACGGUAAGCACUGAGAAAAUCUUUGAAAAUUAGACAUUUCUUCUUUAUUCUAUGGUUAACAAGAAAGAAGACGGCUCUUUCUCAACCUUUCUUUAGUGUCUAAAAUGUAUAACUAUAUGAGUACUUUUUAAAAAUUGCUGAAGAGUGACACUCUGGACUCAAAGCUGCUACCUAUUGGGUGAGAAUACCCAGGUGCCCUGAGCCUAGGGCUGACAUCACCAGGGCUGUGAUGCAGGAGGGCUCAGCUUUCUCCAUCUUUUCAAUGAAAUUGUCUAAUUUUCAAAAAUUAUGUAGCAGAUGAACAUUUAUUUUUUUCCAAAUUAAACCUUAAACAGAGACCAGUGUAAGAGCAGGUAGGGUGAAGACCUGAAGAAGUCCUAGCCCCUCCCUCAGGAAUCCCCUUGGCACAGCCACAGAGUCUUUGGAUUCUGUUUCAAAGGCACCAAGCCACUCAAAUGCAUGUUCCCUGUCCCCAAGGCCAAAGCCCCUUCCCUCUUCACUACCUGCUCACGAGAAAACAGGAUGGAAGGACCAUAGGUUUCCCAAAUCCCGUUUUUAUUUCUUCUUUCUGUUUGUGGAACUAUCAGACAGAAUUUUAUGACAAGGUAUGAUUUA